rnacentral:rRNA from 1 species
GACGAACGCUGGCGGUAUGCUUAACACAUGCAAGUCGAACGAGAAGUCUUUUAUUGAACCUUCGGGGGAUAUAGGAGACAGACAGUGGCGAACGGGUGAGUAACGCGUGGGCAACCUACCUAUCGGAGCGGGAUAGCCUCGAGAAAUCGGGAGUAAAACCGCAUAACACGGAUAUAUCGCAUGAUGAAUCCGUCAAAACUCCGGUGCCGAUAGAUGGGCCCGCGUCUGAUUAGCUAGUUGGUAAGGUAAGGGCUUACCAAGGCAACGAUCAGUAGCCGGUCUGAGAGGGCGAACGGCCACACUGGAACUGAGACACGGUCCAGACUCCUACGGGAGGCAGCAGUGGGGAAUAUUGCGCAAUGGGGGCAACCCUGACGCAGCAAUACCGCGUGAGUGAAGAAGGUUUUCGGAUCGUAAAGCUCUGUUAUUGGGGAAGAAGCAGUGACGGUACCCAAUGAGGAAGUCCCGGCUAACUACGUGCCAGCAGCCGCGGUAAUACGUAGGGGACGAGCGUUGUCCGGAAUCACUGGGCGUAAAGGGCGCGUAGGCGGUUUUAUAAGUCAGAUGUGAAAGGUACCGGCUCAACCGGUGACGUGCAUUUGAAACUGUAAGACUUGAGUACUGAAGAGGCAAGCGGAAUUCCUAGUGUAGCGGUGAAAUGCGUAGAUAUUAGGAAGAACACCGGUGGCGAAGGCGGCUUGCUGGGCAGAUACUGACGCUGAGGUGCGAAAGCGUGGGGAGCGAACAGG